rnacentral:rRNA from 1 species
AACGAACGCUGGCGGCAGGCCUAACACAUGCAAGUCGAACGCCCUAGCAAUAGGGAGUGGCAGACGGGUGAGUAACACGUGGGAACCUUCCCUAUAGUACGGAAUAGCCCAGGGAAACUUGGAGUAAUACCGUAUACGCCCGUGAGGGGAAAGAUUUAUCGCUAUAGGAUGGGCCCGCGUAGGAUUAGCUAGUUGGUGAGGUAAUGGCUCACCAAGGCGACGAUCCUUAGCUGGUCUGAGAGGACGACCAGCCACACUGGGACUGAGACACGGCCCAGACUCCUACGGGAGGCAGCAGUGGGGAAUAUUGGACAAUGGGCGCAAGCCUGAUCCAGCCAUGCCGCGUGAGUGAUGAAGGCCUUAGGGUUGUAAAGCUCUUUUGUCGGGGACGAUAAUGACGGUACCCGAAGAAUAAGUCCCGGCUAACUUCGUGCCAGCAGCCGCCGUAA